UAUUGAAAUACAUAUAAAAUCAAGUGUAAUCCAAUGGAAGUAAAACAAGAAGUUAAGGAGGAAAUCUGUAAAGUAGAAGUAGAGUGUAAUGACCUGGAUGAUGCUCCUUUGGAUGACUUUAAAUGUGAAAUCAAGGAGGAAUCCAAAUGGCAAAGUACACAUGACACCAAUGAUUAUUUAGACGUGAAGGAACUUCCUAUAAACACUCAAAUAGAUCAACAUGAAAUUAUUCACCCAUUUGAAGAAGACCAAAAAACCGAAAAAGAUUAUCUCCAUGAGGACAAAAUGGAAAUUUUUGAGGCAAUAACUGAACAUUCAUCCUACGAAGGAAAUUAUAACGAAUCCACAUACUGAAGGAAAACCGUUAAAUAAAAAUAGGAAAGUUGAGAGUGGAAAAAGACGUUACAAAUGUGAAAUUUGUUUUAAACAGUUUAGUCAAACAAGUAGUUUGAAAAUACAUUUGAGAGUGCACACUGGGGAAAAACCUUACAAGUGUGAGAUUUGUUUCAAGCAAUUUUCUCAGAAAAGCCAUUUGGAAAGUCAUUUGAUAGUGCACACUGAAGAAAAACCCUAUAUGUGUGAAAUUUGUUUUAGGAACUUUAGAGAACGAGGUCAUUUGAAAAGGCAUUUAAUGAUGCACACUGGAGAAAAACCUCAUAAGUGUGAAAUUUGUUUAAAGCAUUUUAGUGUAUUAAGACAUUUGAAAGAGCACUUGAGAGUACACACUGGAGAAAAACCGUACUCGUGUAAAAUCUGUUGUAAACAGUUUAGUCUAAAAACUACUUUGAAAACACAUUUGAAAGUGCACACUGGAGAAACACCAUUCAAGUGUGAAAUCUGUUGUAAAAAGUUUAGUCUAAAAGGUACUUUGAAAACACAUUUGAAAGUGCACACUGGAGAAAAACCAUACAAGUGUGAGAUUUGUUUCAAGCAAUUUUCUCAGAAAAGCCAUUUAAAAAGUCAUUUGAUAGUGCAUACUGAAGAAAAACCCUAUAAGUGCGAAACUUGUUUUAGGAACUUUAGAGAACGAGGUCAUUUGAAAAGGCAUUUAAUGAUGCACACUGGAGAAAAACCUCAUAAGUGUGAAUUUUGUUUUAAGCAGUUUACUACAGCAGGUGAUGUAAAAAGACAUUUUGAUAGUGCAAACUGGGAAAAAAAAUGUACAAGUGUGAAAAUUAGUUUGUACCGGUUUUCUCAAAUAAAUAUUUUGAAACAAUAUUUAAGGACACACAGUGGAGAAAAAAACCUCAAUAAUCAUAAAACGUAAUUAAGGGGAUUGGUACAAAGUUUCGGCUCCAAUGCUAUUUAAAUGGGAUUCACUUUUUCAAAUCCUGAGAAAACUAAUAAGUAUUUUUGAAAAAUUUAAACGAAGAAUGAAAGAUUACGUUCUUAUCGAGAGCCGAAACUCCCUGAAAACUUCUAUACUGUUUAUUUUAAUAAGUUACAGGGGUGAAAAACUAAGAGAAAAUGUAGUGUGAUUUUUAAUUUCAAAUAUCUCAUUCAAAAGAAACUUUUUAUUUAUUCUAAGGGAUUUCCGGCUCUCGAUAAUAAUUUGAUCUUUCAUUCUACGUUUAUUUUUUUUUAAUAUUUAUUAGUUUUUUCAGGAUUCGAAACACAUGCCACAUGCCUAUGGUGAUAUUUAUCAAAUCGAACAUUCUCUAUCUAAAGCCGGAUUCACAUCAAUAAAAAUUUACGUUGUUAUUCGCUCCCAGUGUUAACAAAGUGUCAAAUCAAAAUCGACCGACCUGCUCAUGGUGGCGGUUUUUUGAAAUUUUGUAAGGACGCUUUGUGUAUGUUUAAAUGGGAUAUUUAAAAAAAUACUGUGUCACGCUAGUGAUAUUUUUUUUAUUUAUUAAAUUAACAAUGCACCUAAUCUUAAGACUAACCAGCAUUUUACAUUUAUCUUAAUCUACUACUGUACUGUCCUAGGUAUUCCCAACGGUUCACCUUAGAAUUUAAUAAUUAUUGUUGCACACAUCACUGUUGUGGCUAGGUUCACUGUCCGAAUUUAAACUGACACUGACAUUUUUAUAGAUUUAUCACUAUCACACAAGUUCAAAAGGUUUGGUGCGUUUGAGCCUGCGGACUAGGUUUUGAUUAUCUAAAAGUUCUAACACUUCCCUGUUUGUAUGGUUGUGGAGUCGUUUUUCAUAACCCUUGGCAAUCUUCUUUAUUUCUUCUUUGAUUGUUGCUAUACGAAGUUCCCGAUGUAGGUCUUUGUUGUGGAUAUACCAUGGAGCGUUGACUAUGUUUCUUAGUAUUCGGUUUUGGACUCUUUGCAGGCAAGCAUAGUUACCCUCACUAGUACAGCCCCAUAACUGUAGACCAUAGGACCAUACUGGUAGGAGCAUUUGUUUGUAAACUUUGUUUUUGAUUGUAAGUUGUGAGCUUCUACCUAAUAACCAAUAUAACUUCUUGUACUUCAGUUUUAGUUCUUCAGUUUUCUUUUUGAUAUGUUCCUGCCACUUUAAUUUGCUGUCCAAAUGUAGCCCUAGAUAUUUAACUGUUUUCUUGUACGGAACGAUUUUAUUGUUUAUUCUAACUGGGUGACUAUUUAUUUUUUUGUAGGUGAAAUCGAUAUGGGCAGAUUUCCCUUCAUUGAUUUUUAUGCGCCAUUUAUUAUUCCAGGUGUUUAUUUUGUUUACUGCAUUUUGCAGGUGUCUAGUUGUUUCUUCGAAUGUUUCACCUACUGCUAGUAUUGCAGUGUCGUCUGCAAAUGUUGCCAGUUUAAUAUUUUCUGUAACAGGUAUGUCACAAGUAUAUAAUAAAUAUAGUAUGGGUCCCAGAACACUGCCCUGUGGGAUUCCUGCUUUAAUUGGCUGUAAUUCUGAAUAUUCGCCUUCCUGUUUAACUCUAAAAGUUCUAUCUUCCAAAUAUGAUUGUAUUAGAUGUACAAAUUGGAUGGGAAGAUAUCUUUUUAAUUUUAGUAACAAGCCUUUGUGCCACACUUUGUCAAAUGCUUUUGCUAUGUCUAGAAAAAUAGCUGAGCAUAUUUUAUUCUCCUCCAGAGAUCUCUCUAUAAUAUCUGUUAUUCGAUGAAUUUGGUCUAUUGUUGAAUGUUUAUUGCGAAAUCCAAAUUGGUGGGAAGAAACAACUUCCCUGUGGUCGAGUAUAGGUUGCAUUCGUGCUAGCAAUAUCCUCUCAAAUAGUUUGGAUAAAAUUGGUAGCAGAGAUAUUGGUCUGUAUGAUUCUACCUUGUUGGUUGGUUUCCCUGGUUUGGGAAUCAUGAUUAAUUCAGAUGUUUCCACGUUAUUGGUACAUAUUGCAACCUGAAUACUGCAUUUAUAAGGUUUGUGACUUUUACGAUGGCCUUUCUAGGUAAUUGUUGUAGUAUUUCUCCUGUUAUUAAGUCAAAUCCUGGAGCCUUUUUGGGAUUGAUAUUGUUUUUGAUUACGUUGGUAACCUCUUUAGGAGUAGUAGGCUUUAUUAUGUCUUGAUCAGUAUUGUUCAAUUCAGUUUCAGUGCUUUCAUCAUCUUCGUUUUCGGCUUGGUGAUUAUUUCCCAUUUCGUUAUUUUGGAAUACAUUUUCCAAGUAUAAAGCGAAAAGAUUUGCUUUUUGUUUUCCAUCUCUUGCCCAUGUUCCAUUUUCUUUUCUAAUCGGCGGAAUCUGUUGCGUUGGUCUAUUUAUUCUUUUUGUACAUUUCCACAACGAGUAGUCAGUGGUUUGGUCAUCUGUCAGAUCAUUUAGGUAUUGGUUUACUGAUUCAUUUUUAAUUAAAUCUAUUUUUCUUCUUAACUGUUAAGUGAGGUUGUUUAAUACAUUUUUAUUUUCUGCAGUUCUGCUUUUUUGCCACGUCUUCCUGGCUUUUCUUUUUCUUUGCACCAGUUCUCGAAUUUCUUUGGGAUAAUUUUGUCCUUUGGUUUUUCUUAUAAUUUGUUUGGUAUUAUUCCAAGCUGCUUAUUGUAUAUUUAUGGUUAGUGUCUCUGUUUCUUCAUCAAGUUGUUCAUUAGUUUUGAUUGAUACAUUAAGCUCAAUUCUGUCACUUAACUCCUGCCUAAAGCUAGCCCAGUCCGUUCUCUUAUUGGUUAAUGUCGGGUUAUUUUCUCUUAGUAUUAUAUGCUCACUGAUUGUGAGUAGUAUUAGAGAGUGAUCAGAACUGGGACCACAAUUUCUUCUAUUGUCAUAAAAUUUGUUGCAACUUUUCUUGAAAUGAAAAAGUCAAUUAAGUCUGGUAUUUUAUUUUGAUCAGUGGGCCAAUAUGUUGGUUUUCCAGUUGAGUGCCAUUUGCCGUUUAUCUUUUCUAUUGCUGCAUGUAGUUCUCUACCCUUUGUAUUGGUUAAUCUUGAACCCCAUACAGUGUUUUUAGCAUUAAAGUCUGCACCAAUAAUAAAUUUUUCUCCAAGCGUGUUAAGCAAAUGGACAUAAUUUUCUUUUUUUAGAUUGUGUUUGGGUGGAAAAUAUGCAGCUGCUAUUGUUACUUCAUAUUUUUUUGUUUUGAAACUUAUACUAGCUGCCUGGAUGGCUUCAGUCUCUAUAUUUUCGCUUUCGAAGCGAAUUAGAUUAUUCUUAACGAUUAUUGCUGCUCCUCCACUAGCUGUGUUUCUAGGGUGAAGAGCUUGAUAUAUUUGGUAUCCUCUCAGUUUAAUAUAUGUUUGUUUAGUGAAGUGUGUCUCUGAUAUUAAACAUAUAUCGAUUUUUUGGUUAUUUAAGGUAAACAGCAUCUCCUGCUGAUGUUGCAAGAGGCCGUUUGCGUUCCAAUGUGAUAUUCUUAACUCUUCCGCCAUUUUAUCGUCUACUAGUUUCUAUGCUAUUGAAUUCUUCUUGAUUGUUCAUGCGUUCUAUUAGUAUGUGUAGCAUGUUUGAUAUCGAAUUGAGAUCAUUCUCUACUGGUUGUUUUGGCUCAUUAGAAGCUAUUUGGGCAUAUGUUUGGUUUUGGUUAACCUCUCUUGGAUGGAUUUGCGUAGGAUUCUCCAUAUCUGCUGCCUUGUUUUGUAGUUUGGUUGUAGGUCUCUGUUUGUUCCGUAAUUUUUGAAGAUAUAUAGCAGUGGUGCAACCUCUAUAACUAGCUGGGUGGGCACCACCACAGUGUACGCAUUUGGGUUCUUUAUCUUGUGGCUUCUUAGAAUCUUUUGUUAAAUGUUUCCCGAUGCAUUUUACGCAUCUCGGUUCUCUUCUGCAAUAAUUUUGUGUAUGUCCGUACUCUUGACACCGUUUACAUUGUGGAAUCAAAUUCGGUUUUCUGAAAGCUUCUAUCGUCACUUUCAUGUUUAAAAUUUCGGUAAUUUCAUACACUUUUUUUGUAUUUUCCUCUUUACUAAAAGUAAGUGCAAAAAGUGGCAGUGGCGAUUUGUCCUUUCCUCUUAGUAAUUGGGUUACGUUUUCUAUUUUAUAUCCCUUAUUUUUUAGGUCUUCCGUUAUGUUCUUAACUUGGCAAGUUUGAUGCAGUUUUCUUGCAACCACUUUUAGAGGUCAUUUAGAGUCUUGGUUAGGUUUCUGUAGCUAUUUUCGUCUUUGACAUUAAUUUUUAUAUUAGUGGCUGACUAGGGUGUCGUAUUUUUCCAAUUUGUUUAUAAUGACUGGUGGUGGUUUACGUGCCGUUUGUGUCUCGUCUGGUUUACUUCUCUGUUGGUGGGAGUGGGGCUGUACUUCCUUUGGGGAGUUGCUUAUCUUCCUUUUUUUUAUGAAUUUUGGACUCGAAUCCAUUCCGUUUCUUUACUCAGUUCUUCGUCCUCUGUGC
rnacentral:misc_RNA from 1 species